rnacentral:tRNA from 1 species
GGAUGUAGCUAAGUUGGUAGAGUACAUGCCUAGCAUGCUUGAAGCCCUGGGUUCAAUCCCCAGCUCCA